rnacentral:rRNA from 1 species
GGGGGGGCAAGCGUUGUUCGGAAUUACUGGGCGUAAAGGGCGUGUAGGCGGCCCUGCAAGUCUUUCGUGAAAUCCCACAGCUCAACUGUGGAACUGCGAGGGAAACUGCAGGACUUGAGUCCGGGAGAGGAGAGUGGAAUUCCCAGUGUAGCGGUGAAAUGCGUAGAUAUUGGGAGGAACACCGGUGGCGAAGGCGGCUCUCUGGACCGGCACUGACGCUGAGGCGCGAAAGCUAGGGGAGCAAACGGGGAUUAGAUACCCCGGUAGUCCUAGCCUUAAACGAUGAGCACUUGGUGUGGCGGGUAUCGACCCCUGCCGUGCCCGAAGCUAACGCAUUAAGUGCUCCGCCUGGGGAGUACGGUCGCAAGGCUG